rnacentral:rRNA from 1 species
GACGAACGCUGGCGGCGUGCCUCAUACAUGCAAGUCGAACGCGGUCCGUGGUGCUUGCACCACAUAUGACCGAGUGGCGAACGGGUGAGUAACACGUGAGAAACCUGCCCCGAAGAUCGGGAUAACCACCGGAAACGGUGGCUAAUACCGAAUACCCCUGACCAGUCGCAUGGCCGGUCACGGAAAUGCUCCGGUGCUUCGGGAGGGUCUCGCGACCUAUCAGCUAGUUGGUGGGGUAAUGGCCUACCAAGGCAUCGACGGGUAGCUGGUCUGAGAGGACGAUCAGCCACACUGGGACUGAGACACGGCCCAGACUCCUACGGGAGGCAGCAGUAGGGAAUCUUGCGCAAUGGGCGAAAGCCUGACGCAGCAACGCCGCGUGGGGGAUGAAGGCUCUAGGGUUGUAAACCCCUUUCAGCAGGGACGAAAAUGACGGUACCUGCAGAAGAAGCCCCGGCCAACUACG